UAAAUAUAUGCACAUUUUUUAUCGAAACACACUUACUAAUUUAUUUAAUUUUUUUAGCGCAAUUUGACUCGAAUUACGCAAAAGUUUAAAUGAGGGUAAAUGUAUGUAUCGAGAUAGUUCCAAGGCAGUACUAUCGAUAAUAUUUCCCGUAUAAUCGGUAAUGUGCGGCCACUAGUUUUGCAACAGAUGAUUUUUAAAAAGUAAGAAGUGCGAAAAGUGAAAAUUGAAAAUCUGUUUGGCUAAAUCAACAUUAUUAAAACAAAUAAAAGAAAAAAGGAAUAGCAGCAAAGUGAGAAAAGGAGUUUUUGUACAAGAUGAGUAAGCAUUUCAAAAAAUAUGGAGCACCAAAUCCCAAAACGUCGACCACAGCAAUUCCAAUGAAAAAGGCAAGAUAUGGCAUUGACACUGCCCACCUUGGACAAAACAUUAGUGUAUCCAGUGAAUGCACUAUAGGUGAAGACAUCUUCGAAAAUGUAUUUAGAAAACUACUAUUACACUUAAAAUGCCUUAAUUUUUAGAAUCACGUGGGAUCAGCGUUUCAACGUCGGCCACUAAAUAUACCAAUGGUAAAUUCUUUUAGUAAUAGUAAAUUUGAAUUUGUAUGUUCGUCUAUGAUUCGAUAAUCUGUACUCUGGAGCAUUUAAAUUUAUUGUUUUA